rnacentral:lncRNA from 1 species
AUGACAGUAAUCCUUAUUUCUUGUUUUGCAGAUGAAGAUAUUUUGCUGGAUGUAUUUAUUUUUCCCUCCAGAUCCCUUCUCUGUCAUUUUCCGUUCUGCUCUAUAUCCCAGAGGAACACACAAGGCCGAUUGAGUUUGUCCAUUGAAGAAUACAGUUUCUGUUGCAUGUGUGUUCAGGUAAUUAUUCCCACUCCUUGCUCCUUCAGGUCUAAGAAUAGUAAUGACUUCUUUGGCCCCAGCGGCCUUACCAUACUCAGGACACUUGACCAUCAUUCGUGAAUUUAUCUCAAUCUUGUGUGCCUUUGUAAAUAGUCCCUUUAUUAAAUUCUCCUCAGUUAUUCUAUUUGGGUAUAGUUUACAUCUGUUUCUAGCAUGGAUGGUGACUAUUGUAGGAAGGUACUGCAAUAAUUCAACUAGGAGUUGAUGGUAACAGUGGAAAUGGAAAGGAGGGCUGGAUUCCUGCUUAUGUGUUGAAAGAACCAAUAGAAUUUGCAGAUGGACGAAAUCAACUAGGAGUUGAUGGUAACAGUGGAAAUGGAAAGAAGGGCUGCACUCCUGCUUAUGUGUUGAAGAAAGAACCAAUAGAAUUUACUGAUGGACGAAAUGUAGUGUGUGAGAAAAAGAGAAGAUUCAAAAGUGACUCCAAAGCUGUAGGCUUGAGCAGCUGGAAGGAUGGAGUUGCCACUUACUGGGACUGGAAGGACUUCAGGAAGAACAAGCUGGGGAACUUUCGUCAUGUUAAAUUUGAACUUAACUAGGUAUCCAAAGAGCGUUUUCACAUAAGCAUUUGGAUGUACAAGUCUGAUGUCAAGAGAGAGGUCUGGGAGUCAUCAGCCCAGAGAUAGUCUUCAAGGCCAUGGAACAGAUGAAAUCAACCACUGUCUGAGUGGAGAGAGAAAGAAAAGGAAUAAGGGCUGUCUUGUGGACUCUUCCAUAUUUGGAAUUCAGGGAGAUAAGGAAGAACCAGAAAAUUAGACUGAAAAGGGGUGACCAGAAACGAGGUGAGUGUGGUGUCCUGGAAGCCAAAUGAAGAAAGUGUUCAGUGGAGAAACUGUGUAAAAUGUUGGCUGAUAGUCAAAUAAAAGAACAACUGAGAAUUGACUACUAGAGGUC